rnacentral:lncRNA from 1 species
UGGGAUUCGGACAGAAACCUACUACCCUCUCCUUUUCCUCUUCCGCCUCCUUUAAAUCCUAUCAGACCUUCAUCCACAAACUAGGACACCAUUUAUUUUUCCCUUAAAACUAUGCCAAAUUAAUGCUGAGAAUUUAUUUUCUUGGUUUCUGAGCUGUUGGUUGGUCUUCCGUUUUCAGGAAAAUAUUUCAGGAACGAUGGUGAACAAUGGAAACAGUGUAGGAUAUAUAAGAGGUAUAUCUGAUUUCUUCCCAUAUUCCAUUUUUUAUGGGUGAAAAUUCUAUAUUGUAAGGCAUUUCUGGAAAUGAAUUAAUUUGAUCAUCAUAAAGAGAUGGUGGUGGCAUUGUUUUUGGUUGCAUAUAUCUGGGGGAGUUGUACCGUUUUGAUUUAAAUUUAUGAGAAUUACUGUGUUGUUUUUAUUGGGUUUCAUUAAUCCUGUGUUGUUUUUAACAUAUUGUUUUAUUGGGUUUCAUCAUUAUAUAUGUCAAUCUAGAGUGUUUCAAGUCAUUCUCCUAUAGUUGUUUUAUAUUCCUCCAUCCUUAUUUUAAUCGUUGUACUCGUCUUAUCUUUUAGCUAGUUUGCUUGCGAGUGGUAUUAUGCAAGUGCAACUUAAUAGGUUGAUAGGGUUUUCAGUUAGGCUUUCCAAUACCAAGACAAAUUCAAUAACAUAGGAAAUAUGUUGCCUUCAUUUUAAUUAUAUGUCUGUAUUUACAAAUCCAUAGGCCAAUGUUUAAUUACCUACAAAGUAUUGACAAAAGUGUAAACUAUUUAAGUACUCCAGGAGUUCAUCUACAGAAUCAACAACUAUGUUCCUGAUUUGUUCAAUGGUUAAAUCACUGGCCACACCCUUGCAUUAGGGUGCACAUCCACAACAGUUGCGGUUUCAUGCUUGGAAGUGAAGGAACUGUCUAGAUGCAAAUCAUGAUGACCAACCCCUAACCUAUUUUGUUGUUGUACCACCAACACAGACCCAUCAAAAGUUGAAUCCGAAGACAUAACAUAUUUGCUAUAUAACCAAGUUCCGGGUACUCAUUCCACUCUGUUAAUCGACUAAACAAUGAAGACUCUCUUUCUUGGCGCCUACCCACCAAAAUCAAAUCAUAGCAACCUUCGAGUGACCUUAUGAUACUGACCAUUCCCUCACUAUCUCUCAAAACUUCCUCUCUGUAAUCAUGGCGUUUGAUUUGGAGGUAGUCAACCAUAAACUUGUGAAUCAAGUCACCAUCAGGGUCUAUGUUGAUCAAUUGUCUACUCUUCUUGUGAGGCUCCAUUAAACGAAGCAUUGUGACCUUCACAUUCGAGUGAUAUGCCAUGUGUAUUGCAUAUGCCAAGGCUUCACGGUCAUCUGGCCCUUCUAUAAACACAAUUCCAACACUGUAGAAGGACACAGAAGUUGAAGGGUUGUUCCUAGUCAAGUUUUCACGCUCAACUAGGAUCCGAACGGAGCAUGGCGCGGUUCGAAGCAAAUGGCGAUUCAAUGCUCUAAUGGGGUAUGCUGAUUCCAUGACCUAAUUUGCUCCCCAUUUCCUGUGAAAUGCCACAAUCAACAUGGCAUGCAUAUUUCGUCGUGCAUGGUCUCAUAAGGGGAAAUGGAUGUGCAGAGUUUCACCAUCACGUUGCCCAUGUUCUGUGAAUGUUUAGAAUGUAACGUGUCCUUGUUCUUGGGUUGAUGAUAUAUUAAAUCUGUCUGCCUUUCAGCUCAACCAGGUGUAGAACAUAUGGAAGCAAAUGGGGUUCUCAAUUGUGGAGUUGGACAUUUCUAGAAAAUUGAUCAUGGGUGGGGUGUUUUCUUCAUAGUGUAUGCAUGCCUUCAAGGGAAGUACAAUAUUGGGAGGAGCAUGCUCAAUGGUCCUCCUUUUAGUUAAGGACAAGUAACUCUUAGAUGGUUCAUACAUAAAUUUCACUAUGGGAUUGGAAGCUGUUGUCAACUAUAUUAAAGCUAUAACAACAUUUGAGCGUAUGACAAUCAUCUAUAAUCUGCAAGACAUGUUCAACUUCAAAUUGGCUAUUAGAAAAAAAAAUGAAAAACUAUGUAGCUAAGUAACUAAUCAUUAAUUAUGUCAUUGCAUCUAUUUAGUUUUUUCUCCUCUGCAAAGCAAAUUAACCAUUUUCACACAGGGUUAUCUAACUUAUCCCAAGUUUAAAAAAAGGAUUAGAAAACCCAUCACACUUGAUUGGUGCAAUUAAUACCUACAAUCAAUAAUCUUAAAGUACAUAGAAGAAUUGCAUAAAUCAGAAGUGAUGGAGUAGUUUAACCCCGUUUUUACUUGAUAUAAGUUAGACAACCC